GACGGAGGAUGCAAGCGUUAUCCGGAAUGAUUGGGCGUAAAGCGUCCGCAGGUGGCAGUUCAAGUCUGCUGUCAAAGACCGGGGCUUAACUUCGGAAAGGCAGUGGAAACUGAACAGCUAGAGUAUGGUAGGGGCAGAGGGAAUUCCCGGUGUAGCGGUGAAAUGCGUAGAGAUCGGGAAGAACAUCGGUGGCGAAAGCGCUCUGCUGGACUGCAACUGACACUCAGGGACGAAAGCUAGGGGAGCGAAUGGG
rnacentral:rRNA from 1 species